rnacentral:rRNA from 1 species
AGUUAAAAAGCUCGUAGUUGGAUUUCGGAGUGGGCCAGUUGGUCCGCCGCAAGGUGUGUUACUGACUGGUUUGCUCUUCUUCGCAAAGACUGCGUGUGCUCUUCAGUGAGUGUGCGUAGGAUUUACGACGUUUACUUUGAAAAAAUUAGAGUGUUCAAAGCAGGCUAUUGCUUGAAUACAUGAGCAUGGAAUAAUGGAAUAGGACUUUGGUCCCAUUUUGUUGGUUUCUAGGGCCGAAGUAAUGAUUAAGAGGGACAAUUGGGGGCAUCCGUAUUUCGUUGUCAGAGGUGAAAUUCUUGGAUUUACGAAAGACGAACAACUGCGAAAGCACUUGCCAAGAGUGUUUUCAUUAAUCAAGAACGAAAGUUAGAGGAUCGAAGACGAUCAGAUACCGUCCUAGUUCUAACCAUAAACGAUGUCGACUAGGGAUCAGCGGGCGUUAUCGUACGACCCCGUUGGCACCUUACGGGAAACCAAAGUUUCUGGAUUCCGGGGGAAGUAUGGUUGCAAAGCUGAAACUUAAAGGAAUUGACGGAAGGGCACCACCAGGAGUGGAGCCUGUGGCUCAAUUUGACUCAACACGGGAAAACUUACCA